UUCUGGACUUGCAGUCCAGUCCAAGAUCAGUCAAAUGCCAGGCUUCUGAAGAAACCCAUGUGGGAGUAGAGGAGACAAGAAGGACAUGGCUGUGGAGUCACAUGGGGGUGCUGCUGUCUGAUAUUGAAAAGGUACUUGCAUGGGCCCCACAUCUGUACUCUUCCAGCACCUGAGUGAGACUGGUGUCUGCUUCCACUCUAAAGCUGAAGACCUUAUACUGCCUUCAUGGCCCAGGAUCCAUGGAUUCCCCAGUGCUGAGCCCAGUUACCUGGACUAGCUGCAACUGUGGACUAGAAAUCCUAGAGGCACCUGGAAGCAGGAAGAGGAUGUGAUGAGCAGCCCUGGAGAAUCCUGCUGCUGUGAUUCUGGACUGCAAAUGCCAGAGACCUCAGAGGCAGCAGGAAGAGGAAGCGAACACACAGCCCAUGUUAGCUAUGUGCCAGAGAGGCGUGCUCUAGGGCCCUCCUGGUCCUGCUUCUGGCUUGAGCCACUGCAGGUAUGUGGCUGCAUUUCCUGAAUUAAAAGUAAAUGUGUGUCCAGUUGUUUCUGCAGUGUAGACUAACCUGCAAAGAUUGAAUUGAUUCAGCCUCGGGCUUUUUGACUGUCUGUACUUAGCCAUAGUGUGCAGGGUAUCUGUGUGAAGAAUGUAAUUUCAGGAAUCUCUGAAGAAAGAAGACACCUAGGAAGACAGCAGAGAAAACACCUGAAGAGAGACUACCCAUCCAGUGCCCAGAGGACAUUACACAAAAAAGCCUUAUGUAAACAUACCUUCUUCUGUUCCAAUUGUAUUUUAGUGUUUGUUACUAUUAAUAAAUCUA